AAAACUUUCAACAACGGAUCUCUUGGUUCCGGCAUCGAUGAAGAACGCAGCGAAAUGCGAUAAAUAAUGUGAAUUGCAGAAUUCAGUGAAUCAUCGAAUCUUUGAACGCACAUUGCGCCC
rnacentral:rRNA from 1 species